GCCUCCUGGAACAAAGCAGAUGGGGUUUGGUAUAGCCUUCAAAGUCUUAACACUCCUUAGAUGUAAUUCUGGGAGUCGUCGAGUAGGGAAUAAGACGACUAUAUAAAGAGUUAUAUUGGGAAAACAGAGCAAGAUGAUGUGUGGCUGUACCAUCCUGCAUUUUAUGAACGAUACCAACCUCAACAGGAACAGCUGCUGUCUGCACAUGAGUAUACUGGGGUAUGUAGGCUCCUUGCAUAGCUGUGGUGGCAGGCAUAUACUGAAAAGGAGAAAGGGUUAAAUAGGAUAAAUAAAAUGCAUAAAAAUA